rnacentral:rRNA from 1 species
CCUACGGGAGGCAGCAGUGGGGAAUAUUGGGCAAUGGGCGCAAGCCUGACCCAGCAACGCCGCGUGGGUGAAGGAGCGUUUCGGCGCGUAAAGCCCUAUCGGCAGGGAAGAAGGAGGACGGUACCUGACUAAGAAGCCCCGGCUAAAUACGUGCCAGCAGCCGAGGUAAUACGUAGGGGGCAAGCGUUAUCCGGAUUUACUGGGGGUAAGGGGGGCGAAGAGGGCAUGGCAAGCCAGGGGUGAAAGCCCGGGGCACAACCCCGGGACUGCUCUUGGAACUGCGCGGCUGGAGUGCAGGAGGGGCAGGCGGAAUUCCUGGUGUAGCGGUGAAAUGCGUAGAUAUCAGGAGGAACACCGGUGGCGAAGGCGGCCUGCUGGACUGCGACUGACGUUGAGGCCCGAAAGCGUGGGGAGCAAACAGGAUUAGAUACCCCAGUAGUC